rnacentral:lncRNA from 1 species
UUGGACUCUCAGUAAGCGCAGUCGAGCAUGCCUGAGAAAGGUCUGUGUGUAAACAGCACGGGAACGAAGGCUCUGCACGGCUCUCACACAUCAAGUAAGAGGACACAGCAGCAACGAGCAAACAGGAGCGCCUUCUCUGCCUGUGGGUUCAGAAAUGAAUGCUCCAUCCGUGACCAAUUCCCCUGACAGGUGCUCUCGGAAGUGGCCCAGAUCCUAUGGAAUGCUGUACAGGUAAGGUGCUCCAGUCAUACUCUUUUACUGGAUGUGACAGGCUCAGCAAAAUAACAUUACACGGA